AGCGAAAGUAAAAUUUCGUGGAGGUCCGAACCCACGAGCGUUGAAAAGCUCGGGGAUGACUUGUGGGUAGCGGUGAAAUUCCAAUCGAGCCCGGAGAUAGCUGGUUCUCCCCGAAAUAGCUUUAGGGCUAGCCUCAAGGUGAGAGAUACGGAGGUAGAGCACUGAAUGUCCUAGGGGGUAUUGCACCUACCGAAGACUAUCAAACUCCGAAUGCCGUCAUCUUAUACUUGGGAGUCAGACUGUGGGUGAUAAGAUUCAUAGUCGAAAGGGCAACAGCCCAGAUCGUCAGCUAAGGUCCCUAAAUGUAAGUUAAGUGGUAAAGGAUGUGGGAUUGCACAGACAACCAGGAUGUUGGCUUAGAAGCAGCCACUCAUUCAAAGAGUGCGUAAUAGCUCACUGGUCGAGUGAUCCUGCGCCGAAGAUUUCCGGGGCUAAAACUUACUACCGAAGCUACGGCAUCAGUAAUGAUGGGUAGGGGAGCUUCCCAUACGGGUUGAAGCAUGA
rnacentral:rRNA from 1 species